rnacentral:rRNA from 1 species
GGCUGUAGAGGCAUCUCUGGUCUAAGAAGAUAAGCAGGAUUGCAUAUAGUUGGUACUUGGAUAGGAUAUUGCCUGGGAGUACUGAGUAUUGUAGUCU